UAAUGGGUUUUAUUUGUUGCUAUCAUAGGUUUUUACAUUUAACAAGAAAAUAUUUAAAUAUCUAUUAUGAAUCCACCUAUAUGCAACUAUAUUCACAAAAGAAGUACAAGAUUGUUCUUACCACUGAAGAAACAUUUAAUGUAGGUAAUUGAAGAGACAUUACAGGACUAAUGAUUAUUAUAAUACUAUAUUUAGUUAUGCGCAUAUUGUCUUGUACAGGGAUAUACAGAAAUGAUCUGGCUUCCCAGUGGAUGUAUACCUCAUGACUUCAGAUUCCUUGAUCUUUACUGAGAAAGUUAUGUGUCAAAAAUGGGAAUAGGGGCUUUAGAAUUAUUUCUAUAAGCAUGUUUAGUAAAUUCUUAUGAUGCAAGUAAAGAAGUUUGUACUAAACAUUGCAUUGGAUUGUGGCUCCACACACUGCAGGACUAUG
rnacentral:lncRNA from 1 species